rnacentral:rRNA from 1 species
CCUACGGGCGGCAGCAGUGGGGAAUAUUGCACAAUGGGGGAAACCCUGAUGCAGCGACGCCGCGUGAGUGAAGAAGUAUUUCGGUAUGUAAAGCUCUAUCAGCAGGGAAGAAAAUGACGGUACCUGAUUAAGAAGCCCCGGCUAACUACGUGCCAGCAGCCGCGGUAAUACGUAGGGGGCAAGCGUUAUCCGGAUUUACUGGGUGUAAAGGGAGCGUAGACUGCAGCACAAGUCUGGAGUGAAAUCCCUGGGCUUAACCCCGGAACUGCUUUGGAAACUGUGCAACUAGAGUGCAGGAGAGGUAAGUGGAAUUCCUAGUGUAGCGGUGAAAUGCGGAGAUAUUAGGAGGAACACCAGUGGCGAAGGCGGCUUACUGGACUGUAACUGACGUUGAGGCUCGAAAGCGUGGGGAGCAAACAGGAUUAGAUACCCUAGUAGUC